rnacentral:rRNA from 1 species
AUUGAACGCUGGCGGCAUGCCUUACACAUGCAAGUCGAACGGCAGCACGGGUGCUUGCACCUGGUGGCGAGUGGCGAACGGGUGAGUAAUACAUCGGAACGUACCUUAUCGUGGGGGAUAACGCAGCGAAAGCUGUGCUAAUACCGCAUACGCCCUGAGGGGGAAAGCGGGGGAUCGCAAGACCUCGCGCGAUUAGAGCGGCCGAUGCCUGAUUAGCUAGUUGGUGGGGUAAAAGCCCACCAAGGCGACGAUCAGUAGCUGGUCUGAGAGGACGAUCAGCAACACUGGGACUGCGACACGGCCCAGACUCCUACGGGAGGCAGCAGUGGGGAAUUUUGGACACGGGGGGCAACCCUGAUCCAGCAAUGCCGCGUGAGUGAAGCAGGCCUUCAGGUUGUAAAGCUCUUUUGUCAGGGAAGAAACACCGGCUCUAACACAGUCCGGGAAUGACGGUACCUGAAGAAUAAGCACCGGCUAACUACGUGCCAGCCGCCGCAGUAA